rnacentral:rRNA from 1 species
UACGAAUGGAGCGAGCGUUGUUCGGAAUCACUGGGCGUAAAGCGUGCGCAGGCGGUCUUGAAAGUCAGGAGUGAAAUCCCAGAGCUUAACUUUGGAAUUGCUUUUGAAACUCCAAGACUAGAGUACUGGAGGGGUUGGCGGAAUUUCGAGUGUAGCAGUGAAAUGCGUAGAUAUUCGAAGGAACACCGAUGGCGUAGGCAGCCAACUAGACAGUUACUGACGCUCAUGCACGAAAGCGUGGGGAUCAAACAGG